rnacentral:rRNA from 1 species
AGAGUUUGAUCCUGGCUCAGAACGAACGCUGGCGGCAGGCCUAACACAUGCAAGUCGAGCGCACCCUUCGGGGCGAGCGGCGGACGGGUUAGUAACGCGUGGGAACGUGCCCUUCUCUGCGGAAUAGCCUUUGGAAACGAAGAGUAAUACCGUAUACGCCCUUCGGGGGAAAGAUUUAUCGGAGAAGGAUCGGCCCGCGUUAGAUUAGAUAGUUGGUGGGGUAAUGGCCUACCAAGUCUACGAUCUAUAGCUGGUUUUAGAGGAUGAUCAGCAACACUGGGACUGAGACACGGCCCAGACUCCUACGGGAGGCAGCAGUGGGGAAUCUUAGACAAUGGGCGCAAGCCUGAUCUAGCCAUGCCGCGUGUGUGAUGAAGGCCCUAGGGUCGUAAAGCACUUUCGCCAGGGAUGAUAAUGACAGUACCUGGUAAAGAAACCCCGGCUAACUCCGUGCCAGCAGCCGCGGUAAUACGGAGGGGGUUAGCGUUGUUCGGAAUUACUGGGCGUAAAGCGUACGUAGGCGGAUCAGAAAGUAUAGGGUGAAAUCCCGAGGCUCAACCUCGGAACUGCCUUGUAAACUCCUGGUCUUGAGUUCGAGAGAGGUGAGUGGAAUUCCAAGUGUAGAGGUGAAAUUCGUAGAUAUUUGGAGGAACACCAGUGGCGAAGGCGGCUCACUGGCUCGAUACUGACGCUGAGGUACGAAAGUGUGGGGAGCAAACAGGAUUAGAUACCCUGGUAGUCCACACCGUAAACGAUGAAUGCCAGUCGUCGGGCAGUAUACUGUUCGGUGACACACCUAACGGAUUAGCAUUCGCCUGGGGAGUACGGUCGCAGAUUAAACUCAAAGGAUUGACGG